rnacentral:rRNA from 1 species
AUGCGGAGGGGGUUAGCGUUGUUCGGAAUCAUUGGGCGUAAAGCGCACGUAGGCGGACUGGAAAGUUGGGGGUGAAAUCCCGGGGCUCAACCCCGGAACUGCCUCCAAAACUUCCAAUCUAGAGAUCGAGAGAGGUGAGUGGAAUUCCAAGUGUAGAGGUGAAAUUCGUAGAUAUUUGGAGGAACACCAGUGGCGAAGGCGGCUCACUGGCUCGAUACUGACGCUGCGGUGCGAAAGCGUGGGGAGCAAACAGGAUUAGAUACCCGAGUAGUCC